AUGGGGAUGUUCUUCUGGAGAGCCCAGAUGACAUCUCCACCCAUAUUUACUCUUUCUAUAAGGAGUUGUUUUAGGCUGAGCCGCGUGGAGGCAUCUCCCUCUGCGCUGACUUCUGGCCGCUUGCCGAUCGGGUCUCCGAUGCGGAGAAUGCGGAGCUUACUCUCCCUUUCUCUCCUGAGGAGGUGGGAUUAA
rnacentral:rRNA from 1 species